ensembl:misc_RNA Metazoa_SRP Metazoan signal recognition particle RNA
GCCGGGUGCGGUGGCAUGUGCCUGUAAUCCAAGUCACUGGGAGGCUGAGGUUGGUGGAUCAAGUGAGCUGAGGAGCUCUGGGCUGCAGCACACUAUGUGGAACGGGUGUCCACGCUAAGUUCGGUAUCGAUAUGGUGUUCCUGGGGGAGCCCGGGACCACCAGGUUGUCUAAGGAGGGGUGAACCGGCCCAGGUCGGAAACGAAGCAGGUCAAAUCCCCCGUGCUGUCCAGUAGUGGGAUAAUACCUGUGAGUAGAUGCUGCAGUGCAGCCUUGGCGAAACAUCGAGACCUAAUCUUUC